UUGUCACCAAAAAAAACCAAACAACAUUUUGUUUUGCAUAAUCGAUAAUUACGUAAUACGCUAUAGCGUUAGGCUCAAUUACAAGGAUUGAAUUGCCUGAAAAUUGUUGCAAAUAAUUAGACUGUAUAUUAUAAUACAGUGUUUCCGAUGGUGGUGGUGGUGGUGUGUAAAUGGCUCAUUUUUUCACACACACACACACACACACAAAAUCACAUCAAGGUCGCACGAAAAUCACCCAAAAAUAAAACCAUCUAUUGUUUUGAAUUCCAUGCUGACCAACAAACAAACGAACGAACGAACGAA